GGAGAGGUGCUAGAGUGGUUGAAUAGGACAGUCUCGAAAACUGUUGAACCCGCAAGGGUUCCGUGAGUUCGAAUCUCACCCUCUCCG
rnacentral:tRNA from 1 species